CCUUUUUAUGUUGUGAUGCAGAGCGUGAUUCUUGGGAAGCUAACAUGUUCAUGGAGAUAGAAGGUGAUGGGGGUGCCUGCAUAUCUUCAACCUGAUCUUGAAGUAGAUCUCGUCUUGCCUCCGGCACCAGCUAGCAGAGUCGACAACCAUAAAAACUACAUUUGAGCCAUCAACAAUAUAAAUGGCUCAACCAGGCCCAUAAGACUCGGUUUGCUUUGAAAUCAUCUCAUAACAUCCACAAAAUCUCUCUCAAAGAACACUAGAUCUGACUGCAAUGUUGUCAAGGGUGCUUGGGCUGCUCGAAUUCAGCGCAACAAGAUGUUUUACUCAGGAAAUUCGUCUAUUUUUUCUUUAUUUUGGAGAGGUGGUUCUACAUGAUGUUGAUCCUAGUAUGAGGACCUUCAUUCAUUCAUGUUUGAGUCGCGAGUAGUAACACAAGUGAUGAAGACUAAAGAAUUCCUCAACUGAGCAGUGAGUCAACAACCAGAGCGUGAUUCUUGGGAAGCUAACAUGGGCAUGGAGAUAGAAGGUGAUGGGGGUGCCUGCAUAUCUUCAACCUGAUCUGGAAGCAGAUCUCGUCUUGCCUCCGGCACCAGCUAGCAGAGUCGACAAUCAUGCAAUGGCACAUAUAGACAUGGUUAAUCAUUUAAGAAAAACUACAUUGGAGCCAUCAACAAUAUAAAUUGCUCAACCAGGCCCAUAAGACUCGGUUUGCUUUGAAAUCUCUCAUAACAUCCACAAAACCUAUCUCAAAGAUAAUAGUAGGAACACUAGAUCUGACUGCAAUGUUGUCAAGGGUGCUUGGGCUGCUCGAAUUCAGUGCAACAAGAUGUUUUACUCAGGAAAUUCGUCUAUUUUUUCUCUAUUUUGGAGAGGUGGUUCUACAUGACGCUGAUCCCAGUAGGAGGACCUUCAUUCAUUCAUGUUAGAGCCGUGAAUUUUUAGACCCUGUUGUUGCUGCUACAUUGGACUUUCGAAAUCUUAACAAGAGAAAAUUUCUAACUAAUUUCUCUACAUUACUCCCUUAGUUUUUCCCAUUAAUGCUAAAGCUCAUGAAAUGUAGAGAAAUCAGAAAAAUCGUUUCUAAGUGUGCUUCCAGCAUUGAUGUCUCUUGGAUCAUUUGUUCAACUAUUUCCAUCUCUCGUUGACUUACCAAGACCUUGUCACGAAGAGGACGAUUGGCAGUGGUAGUGCAGAAAAUGGUCUCUACUUCUUGAAUCAACAGGAUAAACUUGCUUAUUCUUCCACCACGUUUUCUACUACCCCCGCUGAUUUAUGGCUGUGGCAUCGGCGUCUUGGGCAUCUUUCCUUUUAUUUACUUAAGCCUUUAUUUCCAUCUGGUUUCGCAAAUCAUCAUGUGUCUGACUUUCUUUGUGAGUCUUGUCAACUUGGAAAACAACACAGAGCUUCUUUUGCUCCCAGUUUGAAUAAAAGUUAAGUUCUUUUUUCAUUAAUACAUUCUGAUGUUUGGGGUCCCUCUCGUGUUAUGUCUGUGAAAGGUCAUCAAUGGUUUGUUACAUUUAUUGAUGAUUUUUCUCGUGCUACUUGGGUGUAUCUCAUGAAAGAUAAGAGUGAGGUUUUCUCUGUGUUUCGCAAUUUUCAUAAGAUGAUUUGUACUUAGUUUGGGGCUACUGUCAAACUAUUUCGUUCUGAUAAUGGCGGGGAAUACAUAGAUUCUGGGUUAGGACAAUAUUUCUCUUCUCAUGGCAUUAUCCAUCAGACCUCUUGCACCAAUACCCCUCAACAAAAUGGGGUGGCGGAACGCAAGAAUCGGCAUCUUCUUGACAUGGCUCGGUGCAUGUGUUUUUCUAUGAGUGUGCCUCGGCCCUAUUGGGGCGACGCUGUUCUCAUCGCUGCCCAUCUUAUUAAUCGUCUCCCUACCCAGGUCUUGUAAAAACAAGCUCCUCUUCACGUCCUCCUCGGUUCUCAGUCCUUAUUUUCUAUUCCUCCCAAAAUUUUUGGUUGUGUCUGUUUUGUUCAUAAUCACUCUUCUUCUCGUGGUAAGUUGGAACCUCACUCCCGCAAGUGUGUUUUCUUUGGUUACUCUCCUACUCAAAACGAAUAUAAAUGUUACCACCCUUCUUCUCGUAAGUGGUUUGUGUCCAUGGAUGUUACUUUCUUUGAGUCCCAGUCCUAUUUCUUGUCCUCUCCGGUGUCACCGUCCUCAUUUCCGGGGGAGCCUUGGUGUGAAGUGAGUCCUGUGCUUCCUAUGGUGGACCCAGUUGUUCUUGCACCACCCUCUUCUACUGUGCUUCCUAUGGUGGAACCAGUUGUUCUUGCACCACCCUCUUCUACUAGGACUAUAGAACCCAAUGUCACCAAGGAUAAGGACGGACAUGUUUAUGUCCGGGACAUCGACAGACAAUAAGUUAACUGGAUACAGGGGACCACUUCUGCUCCUCCACUACUAUCUUCUGCUUCUGAUGAGAGUCUAAGUAACUAUGAAUCUUUUGAGUCCAUUGAUCUUGAUGUUCCUAUUGCCAAGAGGAAGGGUGUGAGAUCUUGUACUCAAUAU